UUGCAGCUGAUGAACCCUUUCAAUUGGCUUCUACUUGGAUCUUUUCACAGCGCCUUUGCGAGUCUGCUGGACUUGUAAGAUGGAGGAGAGAAGUGGACCUGCUACGUUUGUGAGAUGGGAGCAGGCCUCUGUAGUGAGGGCCUGCUGGUUUGGGCCUGUGAAGUAAAUAAGUGUAGGUGGCUGUGCAGAAGGUGGCGCGGCCUGAUGGGCCCGUGGAUGAAAUGGUGGGGCGGGUUGGCCGUUUGUUUGCUGGGCCCGAAAGGAAAGAAGGGCGGGUCGGGGUCUGGUGUUUAGUUGGACCUGAAGGAAGGAAGAGAAACGCGGGNNNNNNNNNNNNNNNNNNNNAAAGCAUAUGCUUGUAUAUUUCUCUAUAUCAGAACAGUGUCAUAGCCCUCUCUUUUAUAGAUGAGGGUGGCUGUGUACAAGUAAGGUACAGCUAAGAUACAGCUACUAUACAGCUACAAGACAAGACAAGUCACACUCCUAUAUAGCUAUAGGACAAGACAAAUCAUACAGCUAACAGGGGGGACGGUUGAGACCGAGCUGUGAAGAUCUUUGGUGAAAUGGGGAAAGGGAUUGAGUGGGGGCGGUCGGCAGUGAGAACGAUGGGAGGGGAAAAAGGGGCUCGGGAGAGCGGUGCUUUAGUGUGAGGAGAAAGAAGAUGGUGGUGCGGAUCAGGGCCUGAAGGUUAGAAAGGGUGGUGGUGUUUGAGGGGUGGAGGCAUGGUGG
rnacentral:lncRNA from 1 species